UGGCGGCAUGCUUUACACAUGCAAGUCGAACGGCAGCGCGGGGGCAACCCUGGCGGCGAGUGGCGAACGGGUGAGUAAUAUAUCGGAACGUACCCAAGAGUGGGGGAUAACGUAGCGAAAGUUACGCUAAUACCGCAUACGAUCCAAGGAUGAAAGCAGGGGACCGCAAGGCCUUGUGCUCCUGGAGCGGCCGAUAUCUGAUUAGCUAGUUGGCGGGGUAAAAGCCCACCAAGGCGACGAUCCGUAGCUGGUCUGAGAGGACGACCAGCCACACUGGAACUGAGACACGGUCCAGACUCCUACGGGAGGCAGCAGUGGGGAAUUUUGGACAAUGGGGGCAACCCUGAUCCAGCCAUGCCGCGUGAGUGAAGAAGGCCUUCGGGUUGUAAAGCUCUUUCGGUGAAGACGAAACGGUUCGUGCUAACAACGCGAACUAAUGACGGUACUCACAGAAGAAGCACCGGCUAACUACGUGCCAGCAGCCGCGGUAAUACGUAGGGUGCAGGCGUUAAUCGGAAUUACUGGGCGUAAAGCGUGCGCAGGCGGCUCCUUAAGUCAGAUGUGAAAUCCCCGGGCUUAACCUGGGAACUGCGUUUGAAACUGAGGGGCUAGAGUGUGGAAGAGGGGGGUGGAAUUCCAGGUGUAGCAGUGAAAUGCGUAGAGAUCUGGAGGAACACCGAUGGCGAAGGCAGCCCCCUGGGCUAACACUGACGCUCAUGCACGAAAGCGU
rnacentral:rRNA from 1 species